rnacentral:rRNA from 1 species
AGUGACCUACGGGGGGCAGCAGUGGGGGAUAUUGGACAAUGGGGGGGAACCCUGAUCCAGCGCCGCCGCGUGAGUGAAGAAGUAUCUCGGUAUGUAAAGCUCUGUCAGCAGGGAAGAAAGCAAUGACGGUACCUGACCAAGAAGCCCCGGCUAACUACGUGCCAGCAGCCGCGGUAAUACGUAGGGGGCAAGCGUUAUCCGGAUUUACUGGGUGUAAAGGGAGCGUAGACGGAGGAGCAAGUCUGAUGUGAAAAUCCGGGGCCCAACCCCGGAACUGCAUUGGAAACUGUUUAUCUAGAGUGUCG